UACGUAGGGUGCGAGCGUUAAUCGGAAUUACUGGGCGUAAAGCGUGCGCAGGCGGUUUCUGAAGCCCGUUGUGAAAUCCCCGGGCUUAACCUGGGAACUGCAUUUGUGACUGGCAAGCUAGAGUAUGGCAGAGGGGGGUAGAAUUCCACGUGUAGCAGUGAAAUGCGUAGAGAUGUGGAGGAAUACCGAUGGCGAAGGCAGCCCCCUGGGCCAAUACUGACGCUCAUGCACGAAAGCGUGGGGAGCAAACAGG
rnacentral:rRNA from 1 species